GCCCGGAUGGUGGAAUCGGUAGACACAAGGGAUUUAAAAUCCCUCGGCAUUCGCGCUGUGCGGGUUCAAGUCCCGCUCCGGGUACCA
rnacentral:tRNA from 1 species